UUUUUCCAACUUGCUCAAAUCUUCAAAUUUGUGCACUUUGAUGUUAUGGGUUCAUGAUUUUACAACCCAGAACAUUAAUAGACUCUCUAUUACACUACUUUAAACAAUCAAUUGCAUCAAUUAACAUCGAAUCGAAGGAUUUCAAAAUUAGGGAAUUUCAUACCUUUUCUAGCUUCGAUUUUUGAUUUUUUUGGCUUUGAUGCUUCUGAUUUGUUGUUUGUGGUUGCUGGGCUUUGAUUAUGAGUGUAUGGGGAAGAGAAAUUCGUUGGCUAGAGGUUGAGAGAGUGUAGGAUGAGACUUUGGAAAAUUUUAGUGUGCAAAAUAAUGUUAACUUUCCAAUCUAUUUAUAAGCCAAAUUAAUUGCCUUGGAUGCUAAAUUGGUUGGUAUAAUUGAGGUGUAAUGGUAUAGUAGCAUGAGGGAAUUCUAGAAUGCAUUGAUUAGCUAGCAUAAUUGAAGAUUCCAUCAACAAUGCUACUAAUAAUACACUAAAAGGGUAUUUUGGUAAUUUCACAUAUAAUUUCAUGGGCAUUUUUGUACAAGGCGAUUAAAUAUAAUAUUUAAUCAUUAGAUUAUAAUUCUUACCAUUUACCAAUUAAUUUCUAUCCUUUGGUAAAUUAAAACAUUUAUACAAUAACAUCGUAAUUAAACCCGGUAAUUUAAAUUAGGGUUUUCUAUAGAAAAAAUUAGGGUUCUAUAAUUAGGGUUUCUUAACGCCGUCAAUUAGGGUUUCUAAUUGACCAUUAGGGUUCUCUAAUUAUCUGUGUAUGUUCUAACACAGUCAUUACGAUCUCUAACUUCAAUCGAUUAGGGUUAUAAUAAUUAGGGUUUGUCCUAAUUAUC
rnacentral:lncRNA from 1 species